rnacentral:rRNA from 1 species
CCUACGGGUGGCAGCAGUGGGGAAUAUUGCACAAUGGGGGAAACCCUGAUGCAGCAACGCCGCGUGAGUGAUGACGGCCUUCGGGUCGUAAAGCUCUGUCUUCAAGGACGAUAAUGACGGUACUUGAGGAGGAAGCCCCGGCUAACUACGUGCCAGCAGCCGCGGUAAUACGUAGGGGGCGAGCGUUAUCCGGAAUUACUGGGCGUAAAGGGUGCGUAGGUGGUUUUUUAAGUCAGAGGUGAAAAGCUAGGGCUCAACCGUAGGAAGCCUUUGAAACUGGGAAACUUGAGUGCAGGAGAGGAGAGUGGAAUUCCUAGUGUAGCGGUGAAAUGCGUAGAUAUUAGGAGGAACACCAGUGGCGAAGGCGGCUCUCUGGACUGUAACUGACGCUGAGGCACGAAAGCGUGGGGAGCAAACAGGAUUAGAUACCCGAGUAGUC